rnacentral:rRNA from 1 species
GAGUUUGAUCCUGGCUCAGAACGAACGCUGGCGGCGUGCCUAACACAUGCAAGUCGAACGUGAUCCAGAGCUUGCUCUGGUGAAAGUGGCGCACGGGUGAGUAACGCGUGGAUAACCUACCCUGGUAUCCGGGAUAACAUUCCGAAAGGGGUGCUAAUACCGGAUAAGCCCACGGGCUCUUUGGAGCUUGCGGGAAAAGGUGGCCUCUAUUUAUAAGCUACUGUAUCAGGAUGGGUCCGCGUACCAUUAGCUAGUUGGCGGUGUAACGGACCACCAAGGCGACGAUGGUUAGCUGGUCUGAGAGGAUGAUCAGCCACACUGGAACUGAGACACGGUCCAGACUCCUACGGGAGGCAGCAGUGGGGAAUUUUGCGCAAUGGGGGAAACCCUGACGCAGCAACGCCGCGUGAGUGAUGAAGGCCUCUGGGUCGUAAAGCUCUGUCAGAGGGGAAGAAAUGAUAUAGUGCUAAUACCACUUUAUCUUGACGGUACCCUCAAAGGAAGCACCGGCUAACUCCGUGCCAGCAGCCGCGGUAAUAC